ACCGCCAGCAGGGGCCUUGCACCUGGCCUUUCAGACCAGAGUUCCUGGAGGGAAGCAGUCGCAUGGACACCUCCGCUCUCAGGGCUCUGUGCAAAGGCGCUGUGCAUGACACCUCCAACCCAGACACCAACAGUGCGCUGUGCGUGGAGCCUGCACUGGGCCCUGCAGUCUGGAGCCACGAGCAGCCCAGAUGCACUGACCUUGGGAGAAUGCCACCCCCACCUUGCUGACCAGAACCCUAUAAAGCAAUCCAGAAGCCCUGCCCACGACCUUUCUGGGGGACCCUGCAUUCUAGAACUAACUUGGGCCUCUCUGCUCUUUGACAAUAAGGCUUUUCUUUGUUUCUGAAUCCGACUCCAGCCCCUCCUACUGACUCAAGCAACACCAGGCAGCAGACCUGUUUGUUGGGGCCUGACUCAGAAGGACAUGAACCUAGAAGACUGCAGCCAUGGAUGCUGUUCACAGUGACGCUGAGACCUCACAAGAGAUCCUAUUUGAAAAUAGACUCAAACCAUUGACUGAUGGGCUUCCCAGGUGGUGUAACAGUAAACAACCUUCCAGCCAAUGGAGGAGUUAUAAAGGAUGGCAGUUUGAUCCCUGGGUUGGGAAGAGCCCAUGGAGGAGAGCAUGGCAGCCCACUUUAGUAUUCUUGCCUGGAGUAUCCUUUAGACAGAGGAGCCUGGCAGGCUACAGUUCAUGGGGUUGCAAAAGAGUCAGACAUGACAAAGCAACUUAACACUCAUGCAUUGACUGAGAUUUUAACAGAUGGAGAAAAUGAAACCAGAUCUUUGGUGGCUCUGUAUGAAUCUAAAA